rnacentral:rRNA from 1 species
GAUGAACGCUGGCGGCGUGCCUAAUACAUGCAAGUCGAGCGAACGGACGAGAAGCUUGCUUCUCUGAUGUUAGCGGCGGACGGGUGAGUAACACGUGGAUAACCUACCUAUAAGACUGGGAUAACUUCGGGAAACCGGAGCUAAUACCGGAUGAUAUUUUGAACCGCAUGGUUCAAAAGUGAAAGACGGUCUUGCUGUCACUUAUAGAUGGAUCCGCGCUGCAUUAGCUAGUUGGUAAGGUAACGGCUUACCAAGGCAACGAUGCAUAGCCGACCUGAGAGGGUGAUCGGCCACACUGGAACUGAGGCACGGUCCAGACUCCUACAGGAGGCAGCAGUAGGGAAUCUUCCGCAAUGGGCGAAAGCCUGACGGAGCAACGCCGCGUGAGUGAUGAAGGUCUUCGGAUCGUAAAACUCUGUUAUUAGGGAAGAACAUAUGUGUAAGUAACUGUGCACAUCUUGACGGUACCUAAUCAGAAAGCCACGGCUAACUACGUG